rnacentral:tRNA from 1 species
GCGAACUUGGCGGAAUGGUAGACGCAGGAGACUUAAAAUCUCCAGCCCGUAAAGGGCGUGCGGGUUCGAGUCCCGCAGUUCGCA